rnacentral:other from 1 species
CUAACUCUGCAGUGUUCGAGCCAUUUCGGAGUUCUGUCCUUUACUCUUUUAAAAUCGGGAGCUUGAACCUUGUUAGUUACUGUCCAGCCGUCAACCGGAAGACAAAAACUAAUUAGAGAGCACCCACCUUGGAAAACAAAGGCCAAGGACUCCCCCUAUACGGCACAGGCGGGGUUACU